ACCCAGGAGUUGGAGGUUGCAGUGAGCUAAGAUAGUGCCACUGCACUCCAGCCUGGGUGACAGAGUGAGAUUCCAUCUCUAAAUUAAUUAAUUGUUUAAUUAAAUAAGUGAUUAAUAUGCUAAGAGCUCUAAUGGAAAAAAUACUAGAAAUCAAAAACAAUCUUUUGGCUUCCCUGAACCAAAUUGGAAGAAGAAGAAUUGUCUUGAGACGCACAUAAAAUACACUAAAAUUAAUGAUAGCUAAUGAGCUAAAAAAAUUUUUAAAAAUAACAAAAAAACUCAUGAUAUUUUAAUAAAGUUUAUGAAUUUGUGUUGGGCCACCUGCGGCCUGCAGGCAGUCAGUUGGACAAGUAGCUUGCUGUAAUAAGAAUGAAGAAUGCCUUUUGAUGGGCUUAGACAUAGGAAAGGAAAGAAUUAGUGACCUUGAAGAUAUGUCUAUUGAAAUGCCCCAAACUGAAAAGUGAAGAGAAAAAAAGAAAAUACAGUUUUACCUUAAUGAACAUUCAGGCAUGAAAUGCUACACUAAUGGCCCCCAAUAAUUCAUGCCUCCUCAGUAUUCAUUUAGCCUCAACCCACAAUAACUUUGGCCAAGAAGACAUCAGCAAACAUGACCCAGGUAGAAUCCUGAUAGCCCUUACACUGUAGGACUUGCCUUCUAGGAGUGUGGCCCUGAGAUGGCAUGUGAAAAAAAGCCAGGCUAGUCUCCAUCAGGAUGAAAGACCAUAAAGAGGCAGGCCAGUGCAGUCAUCCCACCAAACCCAGCCCCAGGUAACCAACCAGCUGAGUGCAGUCACAUGAAUAACCUAGUCAAAACAGCAGAAACUGCCCAGUCAACCCACUGAAUCAUGAGAAAUAAAAUGAUUCUAGUUGUAAGCCAGUAAAUUUUAGGUUCAUUCGUUAUACAACAAUAAUCGCAAGAAAGAAAGUAGUAUUCUGCAUUGCUUCAUGAGCCAAAUAUGAAUGAAUUUACAAAGAUGGAAGUGUUGACACUGACGAAAACAUAUGUUUGGGCAGUUCAGGCAUGAGUGGAUAGGAAAGGGAUAGAAAUGUAGAGAAGCAGGAGGUGAAACAGAAGACUUUCAAA